rnacentral:rRNA from 1 species
AUUGAACGCUGGCGGCAGGCCUAACACAUGCAAGUCGAGCGAGCGGCGGACGGGUGAGUAAUGUCUGGGAAACUGCCUGAUGGAGGGGGAUAACUACUGGAAACGGUAGCUAAUACCGCAUACAAUGCGAUAUGCCCAGAUGGGAUUAGCUGGGAGGUGGGGUAACGGCUAACCUAGGCGACGAUCCGUAGCUGGUCUGGGAGGUUGACCAGCCACACUGGAACUGAGACACGGUCCAGACUCCUACGGGAGGCAGCAGUGGGGAAUAUUGCACAAUGGGCGAAAGCCUGAUGCAGCCAUGCCGCGUGUGUGAAGAAGGCCUUCGGGUUGUAAAGCACUUUCAGCGGGGAGGCGUUACCCGCAGAAGAAGCACCGGCUAACUCCGUGCCAGCAGCCGCGGUAAUAC